rnacentral:lncRNA from 1 species
UUUUUUUAUGUGUUACAUAUUUGUUUUUCGUUAAUUUUUUUACAUAAAUAAGGCCGUUAGUUUUCUCGUUUGAAUUGUUUUACAUUGUUUUAUCGGGGCCUUUUAUAGCUGACUAUGCGGUAUGGGCUUUGCUCAUUGUUGAAGGUCGUACGGUGACCUAUAGUUGUUAAUGUCUGUGUCAUUUUGGUCUUUUGUGGAUAGUUGUCUCAUUGGCAAUCAUACCACAUCUUCUUUUUUAUAUUAACAUCGCUCAU